AGAGUUUGAUCCUGGCUCAGGAUGAACGCUGGCGGCAUGCCUAAUACAUGCAAGUCGAACGAGAGGAAGGAAAGCUUGCUUUCCUAAAUCUAGUGGCGAACGGGUGAGUAACACGUAGGUAACCUGCCCAUGUGCCCGGGAUAACUUCUGGAAACGGAUGCUAAAACCGGAUAGGUAGCAGACAAGCAUUUGACUGCUAUUAAAGUGGCUAAGGCCAUGAACAUGGAUGGACCUGCGGUGCAUUAGCUAGUUGGUGAGGUAACGGCCCACCAAGGCGACGAUGCAUAGCCGGCCUGAGAGGGCGGACGGCCACAUUGGGACUGAGACACGGCCCAAACUCCUACGGGAGGCAGCAGUAGGGAAUUUUCGUCAAUGGGGGGAACCCUGAACGAGCAAUGCCGCGUGAGUGAGGAAGGUCUUCGGAUCGUAAAGCUCUGUUGUAAGAGAAAAACGGCACUCAUAGGGAAUGAUGAGUGAGUGAUGGUAUCUUACCAGAAAGUCACGGCUAACUACGUGCCAGCAGCCGCGGUAAUACGUAGGUGGCGAGCGUUAUCCGGAAUGAUUGGGCGUAAAGGGUGCGUAGGUGGCAGAUCAAGUCUGGAGUAAAAGGUAUGGGCUCAACCCGUACUUGCUCUGGAAACUGAUCAGCUAGAGAACAGAAGAGGACGGCGGAACUCCAUGUGUAGCGGUAAAAUGCGUAGAUAUAUGGAAGAACACCGGUGGCGAAGGCGGCCGUCUGGUCUGGAUUCUGACACUGAAGCACGAAAGCGUGGGGAGCAAAUAGGAUUAGAUACCCUAGUAGUCCACGCCGUAAACGAUGAGAACUAGGUGUUGGGGGAAUAACUCAGUGCCGCAGUUAACGCAAUAAGUUCUCCGCCUGGGGAGUAUGCACGCAAGUGUGAAACUCAAAGGAAUUGACGGGGGCCCGCACAAGCGGUGGAGUAUGUGGUUUAAUUCGACGCAACGCGAAGAACCUUACCAGGUCUUGACAUUGAUGGACAGAACUAGAGAUAGUUCCUCUUCUUCGGAAGCCAGAAAACAGGUGGUGCACGGUUGUCGUCAGCUCGUGUCGUGAGAUGUUGGGUUAAGUCCCGCAACGAGCGCAA
rnacentral:rRNA from 1 species